AGAGUUUGAUCCUGGCUCAGAUUGAACGCUGGCGGCAUGCUUUACACAUGCAAGUCGAACGGCAGCACGGGCUUCGGCCUGGUGGCGAGUGGCGAACGGGUGAGUAAUGCGUCGGAACGCGCCGAGUAGUGGGGGAUAACGCAGCGAAAGCUGUGCUAAUACCGCAUACGUACUGAGGUAGAAAGUGGGGGACCUUCGGGCCUCACGCCAUUCGAGCGGCCGACGUCUGAUUAGCUAGUUGGUGGGGUAAAGGCUCACCAAGGCGACGAUCAGUAGCGGGUCUGAGAGGAUGAUCCGCCACACUGGGACUGAGACACGGCCCAGACUCCUACGGGAGGCAGCAGUGGGGAAUUUUGGACAAUGGGCGCAAGCCUGAUCCAGCCAUGCCGCGUGUCUGAAGAAGGCCUUCGGGUUGUAAAGGACUUUUGUCCGGGAGCAAAGCCUACUUGUUA
rnacentral:rRNA from 1 species